rnacentral:rRNA from 2 species
GUAUAGGGGGUGACACCUGCCCGGUGCUGGAAGGUUAAGGAGAGGGGUUAGCGUAAGCGAAGCUCUGAACUGAAGCCCCAGUAAACGGCGGCCGUAACUAUAACGGUCCUAAGGUAGCGAAAUUCCUUGUCGGGUAAGUUCCGACCCGCACGAAAGGUGUAACGAUUUGGGCACUGUCUCAACCAGAGACUCGGUGAAAUUAUAGUACCUGUGAAGAUGCAGGUUACCCGCGACAGGACGGAAAGACCCCGUGGAGCUUUACUGUAGCCUGAUAUUGAAUUUUGGUACAGUUUGUACAGGAUAGGCGGGAGCCUUUGAAACCGGAGCGCUAGCUUCGGUGGAGGCGCUGGUGGGAUACCGCCCUGACUGUAUUGAAAUUCUAACCUACGGGUCUUAUCGACCCGGGAGACAGUGUCAGGUGGGCAGUUUGACUGGGGCGGUCGCCUCCUAAAGUGUAACGGAGGCGCCCAAAGGUUCCCUCAGAAUGGUUGGAAAUCAUUCGUAGAGUGCAAAGGCAUAAGGG